UUUUUUUUUUUAAGAACAAGUCUAAGGGGUUUUUCUUGUAAUUAGGGUAAGGCGGGGGAGGGGGAAUAUCCCACUGGACAAUUACUUUCUGCAUAUUUUUAGGUCUCUCACAUUCAAUAGAGCUCAUCAAUGGGCAGCACUGAACAUUAAAAUGCAUGAAGUUGAAUUAGGCUGUUUGGCCCCCAAAUGGCCCCAUAGGCAGACACCUUGAAAGAACUGUCAUUUAGAAUACAACUAGCAAAUUAUAUGUAUUUUAGGCUGGAAACAUAGAGGCAUUUAAAGUUUGAAUCAUCAUCAUCAUAAACGGACAAGAAUCAAAAGCAGUUGUGGAAUGAAGCCAAGAAAUUAUCAGUUUUUCAAAACAUCAUUUACAAGAGGCAUUUUUGAUUUUUUUUUUUAACAAAUCCAUGGAUAUAUGCAGGCAGCAUACUGAAUCAUGACAGAAAGAUCUUUGGUGUAUGAGGUGAUUGGGUUUAUUUCUUUAAGGUUUUUCCUUUGCUGCUGUUUAAUCUGGAAUCGGUCCCUAUUCCUGUUAAUUUUAAUUGUAUGCUCUGAAUUUAGAGGUUUUAUGUUGGUAUACUUGGCAUACUUCCAUUUUAUCCUUCCUCACCAUGCUGGAAAUGGGCUCUGGAUCAGACACUGCAAAGGACACGCAUUUGCAAUGGUGCUUUUGAAAGCAGGCCUAUCCCCAGCAGCACACAUCUGCUCCUUGAUGCUGCUUCCCAGCUCUGAGUGCUUGUCAUAGGUGCAAUCUUCAGUGCCUAACAAUAGUGGGUGAACCAAUGCAGUGAGAAACUCUCUCUCUCUCUCUCUUGCUUUUCUUUUGUAGUUGUUUUCAGGCUGUUUGUGACACCCAAGGGAUUGAAAAUGAAUUCUGGAACAUUAUCCAACACCAGGAAAAUUUGGAUACUGCAGAAGAAAGAUGGCUUUUUCCUUCUCUUUAUUUUAGAUCCCCCUGAUUUUUGCUCUGUCUGGCCAUCUCCAGCUGCAAGAACCUGGAAAGCUGGACCACAAAUUUCAGUGGCUGUCAUAAUCUGGUUAUCACCAUCUGUGUCACAGUUCACCCUUCUGCUCUGUGAUACAUCUGGAACAAAGCCAGCUUGUGCUGCUGUGGUGGCACCAAGUCAUGCUCCCUGGAUAUGGGCUGCAACAAACGGGUCACUUCAGCAGAAGCUGCCAAAGGACCCUCAGGGGAUAGAUACCACUGGGUACGUUUCUGAUCCUCAUGGCAUGUUUGAUGUUCAUUGA
rnacentral:lncRNA from 1 species